rnacentral:rRNA from 1 species
AUUGAACGCUGGCGGCAUGCUUUACACAUGCAAGUCGAACGGCAGCGCGGGGGCAACCCUGGCGGCGAGUGGCGAACGGGUGAGUAAUGUAUCGGAACGUAUCCUGUAAUGGGGGAUAACCAGUCGAAAGAUUGGGUAAUACCGCAUACGCACGAGAGUGGAAAGUGGAGGAUCGCAAGACUUCACGUUAUAGGAGCGGCCGAUAUCUGAUUAGCUAGUUGGUGGGGUAAAGGCCUACCAAGGCGACGAUCAGUAGCUGGUCUGAGAGGAUGAUCAGCCACACUGGGACUGAGACACGGCCCAGACUCCUACGGGAGGCAGCAGUGGGGAAUUUUGGACAAUGGGCGAAAGCCUGAUCCAGCCAUGCCGCGUGCGGGAAGAAGGCCUUCGGGUUGUAAACCGCUUAGUUCGGAAAAGGGAUGCUUGGUUAAUACCAAGUGUUUGUAUGGUACCGGAAGAAUAAGCACCGGCUAACUACGUGCCAGCAGCCGCGGUAAAGUGU